GGGCCCGCACAAGCGGUGGAGCACGUGGUUUAAUUCGAUGCAAACCGAAGAACCUUACCUGGGUUUGACAUACAAGUGGUAGUGAAGCGAAAGUGGAACGACUGAUGUAGCAAUACAUUGGAGCUUGAACAGGUGCUGCAUGGUUGUCGUCAGCUCGUGUCGUGAGAUGUUGGGUUAAGUCCCGCAACGAGCGCAACCCCUAUAGCCAGUUGCUAACAGGAGAGCUGAGCACUCUGGCGAGACUGCCGCCGACAAGGCGGAGGAAGGUGGGGACGACGUCAAAUCAUCAUGGCCUAUAUGCCCAGGGCGACACACGUGCUACAAUGGCCGACACAGACGGCAGCUUACUCGCGAGAGUUGGCGAAUCCUCAAAAGUCGGUCCCAGUUCGGACUGCAGUCUGCAACUCGACUGCACGAAGCCGGAAUCGCUAGUAAUCGCAGAUCAGCCAAGCUGCGGUGAAUACGUUCCCGGGCCUU
rnacentral:rRNA from 1 species